UGAAACAAACAGGGUUGGUAUGAGUUCUGGACAGACGUUGUUAAGCUUAGGCAAGCAGACUGAUGGGGAGCCCAAACGGAGGUUCAGGUUACAGAAGCAGCGUGGGCUUUGAGAGCUGCUCUUGCUUUCUUUCACUGUCUUCAUUCUGUGGGGUUGUUUGCAGUGCGUUUCUGUUGAGUUUCUCCUGCUAGGGCACUACUUUUGUAGCUCUCUGUACUGGAGCGUAACGCUCUUAUUAAGGGAGGUUCUCCGAAGCCGCAUGUGUUGCGAGGUCUCCACUCCACCCCUGUAUCAGGGCGGUGACGAGUGCGUUUGACUGUUAGUUGCAGGGCUUGUGAGGUGCGUCCGUGUGUCGAUUGCGCGCUCACUCGCUUUGCCUCUUCUCUUCUUCAGAUCGCCCAGGAAGAGGAGCAUCAGUCGUAGUCGCAGCAGAUCUCUUUCCAGAGAGCGGCGGAGGGAGAGAUCGCUGUCUCACGACAGGAACCACAGGCUCUCGCGAUCUUUCUCCCGAUCAAGGAGGUAAGAGUCUCUGCAAACAUUCGGAGAAAUUUGUUAUGGCAUUGAUAUAGAUGAAUAGUUCAAUUUUCUUUUUAUUUUACCUCUGUAUGAUGGAUAAAGACUAAUAGUGUUUAUAUCUGUAUUUUUGCACUCCACAAGUGCCACUUACUGUCAGUCGAUUUGUAUUGUCAUUCAACCCAUCUACGAUUUUUAUUCAGAACAAUUAUAAUCAUUAAUUAGUCUGAA